AUUGAACGCUGGCGGCAGGCCUAACACAUGCAAGUCGAACGAACCCUUCGGGGUUAGUGGCGGACGGGUGAGUAACACGUGGGAACGUGCCUUUAGGUUCGGAAUAACUCAGGGAAACUUGUGCUAAUACCGAAUGUGCCCUUCGGGGGAAAGAUUUAUCGCCUUUAGAGCGGCCCGCGUCUGAUUAGCUAGUUGGUGAGGUAAUGGCUCACCAGGGCGACGAUCAGUAGCUGGUCUGAGAGGAUGACCAGCCACAUUGGGACUGAGACACGGCCCAAACUCCUACGGGAGGCAGCAGUGGGGAAUCUUGCGCAAUGGGCGAAAGCCUGACGCAGCCAUGCCGCGUGGAUGAUGAAGGUCUUAGGAUUGUAAAAUCCUUUCACCGGUGAAGAUAAUGACUGUAGCCGGAGAAGAAGCCCCGGCUAACUUCGUGCCAGCCGCCGCCGUAACAC
rnacentral:rRNA from 1 species